rnacentral:RNase_P_RNA from 1 species
CCGGAUGCGCGGAAGGCCGCCGCCCUAAGGGGCGGAGGAAAGUCCGAGCACCACUGAACCACGGUGGUGGGUAACGCCCACCGUUGCCGCUCGCGAGGGCGGCGAUAGGGAAAGCGCCACAGAAAGCAGACCGCCCGCGUGCGGAGCCCCCGUCAAGGACGCGCGUGGGUAAGGGUGAAAAGGUGCGGUAAGAGCGCACCGCGUUCGUCGUGAGGCGGACGGCACGGCAAGCCCCACCGGGUGCAAGGUCAAGCAGCGACGAUGGCUUGGUUCAGGCCCAGCGUCGCGGGUAGGCCGCUUCCUUCGGGUUCGCCCGACGGAGAGCCCGUCCCGCAAGGGCGGGUCAAGAUAAAUGGUCUUCGCCGCCGAUCGCAGCCAAGCGAGCGGCGGAACAGAACUCGGCUUACAGCGCAUCCGGCGGG